GACGAACGCUGGCGGCGUGCUUAACACAUGCAAGUCGAGCGGUAAGGCCCUUUCGGGGGUACACGAGCGGCGAACGGGUGAGUAACACGUGGGUGACCUGCCCUUAGCUCUGGGAUAAGCCUGGGAAACUGGGUCUAAUACCGGAUAUGACUCCAUGACGCAUGUUGUGGGGUGGAAAGCCUUGUGCGGCUAGGGAUGGGCCUGCGGCCCAUCAGCUUGUUGGUGGGGUGAUGGCCUACCAAGGCGACGACGGGUAGCCGGCCUGAGAGGGCGACCGGCCACACUGGGACUGAGACACGGCCCAGACUCCUACGGGAGGCAGCAGUGGGGAAUCUUGCGCAAUGGGCGAAAGCCUGACGCAGCGACGCCGCGUGGGGGAUGACGGCCUCGG
rnacentral:rRNA from 1 species